GACGAACGCUGGCGGCGUGCUUAACACAUGCAAGUCGAACGGGAAUCGAUGGAAAGAGGUUUCGGCCGAUGGAAAUCGAGGAUAGUGGCGGACGGGUGAGUAACGCGUGAGCAACCUACCUUUCAGAGGGGGACAACAGCUGGAAACGGCUGCUAAUACCGCAUGAAAUACUGAUGGGGCAUCCUGUUGGUAUCAAAGAUUUAUCGCUGGAAGAUGGGCGCGCGUCUGAUUAGGUAGUUGGUGGGGUAACGGCUCACCAAGCCGACGAUCAGUAGCCGGACUGAGAGGUUGACCGGCCACAUUGGGACUGAGAUACGGCCCAGACUCCUACGGGAGGCAGCAGUGGGGAAUAUUGGACAAUGGGGGCAACCCUGAUCCAGCCACGCCGCGUGAGUGAUGAAGGCUUUCGGGUCGUAAAGCUCUGUGGGGAGGGACGAACGUCCCCGUGAAGAACGGGGGGUGACGGUACCUCCUUAGCAAGCACCGGCUAACUUCGUGCCAGC
rnacentral:rRNA from 1 species